UUCUCCUUCACGUUUGAGCAGAUAAUCUCUUCCCCCAUUUUUCUUUCCCAUGAAUUCCUUCAAUCUCCACGCAUAUGCAGUUACAUCAUUCCUUAGGUUUUAUUAGUUUAAUUUCUCUUUUGUUUAUUUUCACUCGUAACAGACUCUCGCUCCCUCUCCUGCGAAAUUUCUGAAACUCUUGGUGUCGUGCGUUCAUGAGCCGUGGAAACGUGUGAACGUCGAGCCCUAUCACUAGAGAAAUUAACGAUCAACGAGCAUCUCCACCACCUCCCUGCCACACAGCACCGUCGCUAAGGACGUCGUCACCGAUCUCCCCUUCACGCAGGGCACUGAAAUAACGCUUAGGCAGCUUCUCCUCGCCAUCGAGUUUGAUUAAGUUAAACGCAUAAAAUUUGGUAAGAUAAUUAGAGCGUUAGUACCACCUUUUUAUUAUUUAUUUAAAAGUGAUCUGUAUAUUGGUACCUAUUGGAAGACAUUGCUGACUUUGUUGUAUAUUGAGAAUUGUGUAAUUGUGAUUUCUUGGUUGGAUUUGAAGUGUGGAUAGCGUGUGGUGGUUGCGUGGGAUUUUGUAAGCCGGCUUAUUGUGUUGGAUUGGUCUUGAGGUUGGACAAAUUGUGUUGGACAAAUUGUGUUGGACGUGCAGGGAGUUAAGUUGAUGCUCGGGGUUUGAGGAGUGGUUGUCUGUUACUGUUUGAGUUAUAUACUAACUGUUAAGAGUUAAUGUUAGAUUGUUUGGAUGUACCUUUUGUUAUUUGGGUUGAUGUUGGUUAUGAGAUAUGUGGUAUUAUGAGGCUGUCCAGUUUUUCUCUAUGGUUGCUAUUGGGUUAAUUAUGUUGGAUUGAUAUGUGGAGGCUCGGGUUAGUAUGUUAACGGUUGGCUGUUUGAGCUAUAUGUCAGCUGUGUUGGAGUCUUAUACCGACGGUUGAGUCCACGUUAAUAGUUUUCGAGAUUUGUAUGCAGGCUGUUUUUGAAUUGAUUUUGGGUAUUGGGGUGGUUUAUUAGGCUAAUCAAGUGAUGAGGUGUGUCGGGCUGGAACUGUUGCAAGUUGUGUGGAUGCUUGAGUUUGACUUGUGGGCUGGUUGGGUAUUAUAUUCCAUAUGUGAAAAUGAUCAUAAUUUGUAUUGUACUUUUUUUUUUUUUCUUGACACGAUGAAGCAUCUGAAAAUCUUUGAUAUAACAUCUUGAUUAUGUGUCUAAUUCUGUUUUUUGCUUUGUUAUGGUCUUAUUAUGAGUGUAAAAUUUAGGUUUCAGUUUGAGUUGGUACCAACUUUUGUGUCUCUGAAUGUACCCACUUUGAAAACAAAAUAGUUUUUGUAUGAUCUUCUCUGUAUGCACA